UUUUUAUGAGAGUUUGAUCCUGGCUCAGGACGAACGCUGGCGGCGUGCCUAAUACAUGCAAGUCGAACGCUUCUUUUUCCACCGGAGCUUGCUCCACCGGAAAAAGAGGAGUGGCGAACGGGUGAGU
rnacentral:rRNA from 1 species